GUUGCGUGAUCAGAGCUUGAGCUCCUCCAUAUAUUAUUAGAACUCAUUGAUAUAAAGGAGGACAUACAACUUCUUUUCGAUUUACUAAAUCUUUGGACGCGUGUAGUUGUGAAUUUCAAAUAUAAAUAUUAUUUAUUAUUAUUAUCCUGUACUCAAUAGAAGGAAUGAUGCGAGAGAGGAAAAGAGUUAGAACUGCGUGGAAAUAAAUUUAAUUCAUAGUGAUUUGGAUGGAUCUUUCCUACAAAGCAUAAUGAUAUAUGGAUUUGCAUCCACCCAUCCUUCCCGCUCUAAGGAAUUCAUAUUUUUCCUUUUGAAUAUUUUCAGAAGCAAUUGGAAAUAUAUCUUUUGAUCCUCUCUACAACUUCUUUCUCAAGGUAUCUCGCCUCUCUGUACCUCACUCGGUGGAAUACAUCCCCUUGAAUGGAAGAAUCCUUCAUUGUGCAGAUACCAUUGACAUCAAGGUCUAUGAUAGUGACUUCUGACUUCGUGAAUCAUUGCCUUUAUGCUCAAGAAUACAUAAAUUCUUCCAGAUUUUCUACGGAAUCAGCGUAUACUUCUACAUAUAAGAACUAUGGAGUUCCAUAAAACGACAGAAUAAUGGAAUGAAACAUCCAAUGAGGAAUAAAGAGAGUUUUCAUCCUCCAGUUUUUAAUUCAUUUUCUCCUUAAGUCAACUCUGCUUCGUCUUUUAUUUUGAGUAGUAGGAAAUAAAGUCUGAAUUUAGCUCCUAAUCUAGAUAGGUGGGGGAAAACUAACAAAAUUUCAAACUCAUAGCAGAAAAGUUCCCAAUUUAAUUUAUUUAUAGUGGGUAGGGUUAAAACAUAAAAAAGGGUAUUGCAAUCACAUCCCAAAAUUUUAAUGGGACCUAACUGAAUUCAGUUUUGAUUCCUUCCCCCACGUUUAUUGUCGUUAAACAAGUAGAAUCAUAUAAUAAUUAAAUAUAUCAUAUUAAAAUCCCCUUAAAAAUAGUGGUAAAAAUAAUGCCAUCACACACACUUCUAGUCUACUAUUAUACACUAGCAAAUAAAUAAUUAUGUAAAAUACAAAAUUAAUGACACAAUUCAAUAAAAAAAAGAAAAAACCCAACGGCAUUGAUGAAAUGUUAUUUUAUGUCGUUUAACGUUCUAAAUCAAUGUGGCAUCACAAUGCAAUUCAUUGUCGUCAUUCCAAGGUAAAACACUAUUGUUCAUUUGGUUAUGUAGAGACGCUUCAGUUGUCCUAGAAGGUGAUUUCUAUUCGUGUGUUCAUAAAGCAAGCUUAUUUUACUCCUUAACUAUUUCAUUCAUAAGUGUCCUUGAUGAAUAUAACGAAGAGAUGUAUAGUCUAUAUGGAUAAUUAUAUAACCUGGACACUAUAAUCCUCAUCCCUGAUUUAUUUAAUACUUGUGAGUCUCUUUUGUGAUAGGAAAACAAGUGGAAGCUGAUUCUAGACACUUAAAGAUAAUUUAUGGUAUCUUGUAUCAAAUCAUCCCGUACUUUUAUUAUUGAACUGAAGAGUUGCACAAAGAAAAAUAUAAUGGAAAAUAAUAAGUUCUCAUCCUCCACCCACAUCUCCUUCAUUGAAACUCAUGUGUUCAAUCUUCCUAAAGUCAACUCUUUCCUUGGUAAGAAUCCUUUAGCCCCUUAAGGCCUAUAACACAAAAAUUACCACUGAAUAGUCUUUAUCACAAAUAUCAAUUCCAUUUAUAUGUUUUACUUCGUGCUGGACUGCCAAUAUUGUCAAUUAUACAUCUUGAACACUUCAAGUUCCAGCCUCACUCCGAAUUUCCUAAGUACUCGUAAGACUAUUUUGUCAUUGGAAAACAAGUGGAAGAUUAUUUUAAACUCUCAAAGAUAAUAUGCUCCUCUUUUCGCCAUAUUUUACUAUAGAAUGCGUGAUUCUAUUUUGCUAUUACAUUUCAAUAGUUAUAGGGAACUGUUAAGUGAUUAUCUGUUCUGUAGAGGUCUAUUGAAAUAUCUUAAUGUUGUCGCAAUUACCAAACUUAUUGACUCAGGAAUCCUCUUCUAAACAGCUAAAUUGCUUGUUAGCAUAUUUGAAUAUUACAUUACUAAUAUUUGACGAGCUAAUUAUAAGUAUGAUUGAAGACAAUAGUUAAAAUGUAUUAAAAUAAUAAAGCAAUUGUUUGAGUAUUAAUUGAACAAAUAAAAAUAAUUAGAACAUCAAUGAUAUUCUUCUAAAUUA
rnacentral:lncRNA from 1 species